GGAGGCUUAGCUCAGCCGGGAGAGCAUCUGCCUUACAAGCAGAGGGUCGGGGGUUCGAUCCCCUCAGCCUCCACCA
rnacentral:tRNA from 9 species